rnacentral:rRNA from 1 species
AUGAACCGGAAGCGGGGAGAAAGGGCCCGAGAUUGCGUCGACGCGGAGUCCCGAAAAGGGCGUCGAUCCGUCGCGACAGCGGGACGGUGGUCAUGGAAGUCGAAAUCCGCUAAGAAGCGUGUAAAAACGUACCCGCCCAACGGAUCGGCCCCGAAAAUUGAUGGCGCUCGAACGCAACCCUCGAACCCCGCCGACGGAGGCUAGGGGAGGCCCCGUCGAGUAGGCGGACGCGCGGGUCGCUUCGACGCUCUCGCGCGAGCGGGGGCGGAGCGGCCCGUGGUGCAGAUCUUGGUGGUAGUAGCGAUCACCCAGGCGAGAACCCUGAGGGGCCGAAGUGGAGAAGGGUUUUCUCGAGAACGGCACUCGCUCGAGAGUUAGUCGAUCCUAAGCUGCCGGCGGCAGCCACGAAACGGUCGAUCGGGCGCGAGCCCGGCAGCCACGACCGGGGCAGCGAAAGGGAAUUGGGAACCUCCUUCCCCAAACCCGGAACCGGAACGAGGGCGGCG